rnacentral:rRNA from 1 species
UACAGAGGGUGCGAGCGUUAAUCGGAAUUACUGGGCGUAAAGCGUGCGCAGGCGGUUCGCUGUGUCCUGUGUGAAAGCCCCGGGCUUAACCUGGGAAUGGCAUGGGAAACUGGCGGGCUGGAGUGUGGCAGAGGGGGGUGGAAUUCCGCGUGUAGCAGUGAAAUGCGUAGAGAUGCGGAGGAACACCGAUGGCGAAGGCAGCCCCCUGGGCUAACACUGACGCUCAGGCACGAAAGCGUGGGGAGCAAACAGG